UCUGGGCAUGGUGGUAUAUGCUUGUAAUCUCUUCUAUGGGGGAAGUUAAGGCUAGCAGAUUGUUUGAACUUGGGAAUUCUGAACUGCAAUGAGCUAAGACGAGCAGGUUUCUGCACUAAGACCAUCACCAAUAUGGCAAAUACUUAGGGGCAGGGUGUAACUAGGCUGCCUAAGAAGAAGCAAACCAGCCUAAGUCAGAAAUGGAGCAGGUCAAAGCUACCAUGCUUGUCAGUAGUGGGAUCAGUUCCAUUACUAACAUUGUGUUUUAAAAAGGCCCUUAACAAGAU
rnacentral:SRP_RNA from 1 species